rnacentral:rRNA from 1 species
GCAAGUCGAACGAGAAAGCUCUUCGGGGUGAGUACAGUGGCGCACGGGUGAGUAACGCGUAGAUGAUGUGCCUUUUAGUUGGGGACAACCUCGGGAAACCGGGGCUAAUACCGAAUAAGCUUAGUUGACUUGAAAGAUACUAAGGAAAGGGGGCUUCGGCUCUCGCUAAGAGAUCGGUCUGCGUAGCAUUAGCUUGUUGGUGGGGUAAUGGCCUACCAAGGCGACGAUCCCUAGCUGGUCUGAGAGGAUGAUC